GACGCACUCUGGCGGCGUGCUUAACACAUGCAAGUCGAACGGUAAGGCUCCAGCUUGCUGGGGUACACGAGUGGCGAACGGGUGAGUAACACGUGGGUGACCUGCCCUGCACUUCGGGAUAAGCCUGGGAAACUGGGUCUAAUACCGGAUAGGACCGCACCGUGAGGGUGUGGUGGAAAGUUUUUUCGGUGUGGGAUGGGCCCGCGGCCUAUCAGCUUGUUGGUGGGGUAAUGGCCUACCAAGGCGGCGACGGGUAGCCGGCCUGAGAGGGUGGACGGCCACAUUGGGACUGAGACACGGCCCAGACUCCUACGGGAGGCAGCAGUGGGGAAUAUUGCACAAUGGGCGGAAGCCUGAUGCAGCGACGCCGCGUGGGGGAUGACGGCCUUCGGGUUGUAAACUCCUUUCACCAUCGACGAAGGGUUUCUGACGGUAGAUGGAGAAGAAGCACCGGCUAACUACGUGCCAGCAGCCGCGGUAAUACGUAGGGUGCGAGCGUUGUCCGGAAUUACUGGGCGUAAAGAGCUCGUAGGUGGUUUGUCGCGUCGUCUGUGAAAUUCCGGGGCUUAACUCCGGGCGUGCAGGCGAUACGGGCAUAACUUGAGUACUGUAGGGGAGACUGGAAUUCCUGGUGUAGCGGUGAAAUGCGCAGAUAUCAGGAGGAACACCGGUGGCGAAGGCGGGUCUCUGGGCAGUAACUGACGCUGAGGAGCGAAAGCAUGGGGAGCGAACAGGAUUAGAUACCCUGGUAGUCCAUGCCGUAAACGGUGGGCGCUAGGUGUGGGUUUCCUUCCACGGGAUCCGUGCCGUAGCUAACGCAUUAAGCGCCCCGCCUGGGGAGUACGGCCGCAAGGCUAAAACUCAAAGGAAUUGACGGGGGCCCGCACAAGCGGCGGAGCAUGUGGAUUAAUUCGAUGCAACGCGAAGAACCUUACCUGGGCUUGACAUAUACAGGAUCGCGCCAGAGAUGGUGUUUCCCUUGUGGCUUGUAUACAGGUGGUGCAUGGUUGUCGUCAGCUCGUGUCGUGAGAUGUUGGGUUAAGUCCCGCAACGAGCGCAACCCUUGUCUUAUGUUGCCAGCACGUUGUGGUGGGGACUCGUAAGAAACUGCCGGGGUUAACUCGGAGGAAGGUGGGGAUGACGUCAAAUCAUCAUGCCCCUUAUGUCCAGGGCUUCACACAUGCUACAAUGGCCGGUACAGUGGGUUGCCAGUCCGUGAGGGCGAGCUAAUCCCGCAAAGCCGGUCUCAGUUCGGAUCGGGGUCUGCAACUCGACCCCGUGAAGUCGGAGUCGCUAGUAAUCGCAGAUCAGCAACGCUGCGGUGAAUACGUUCCCGGGCCU
rnacentral:rRNA from 1 species